GCGCGAAAACUUUACAAUGCUGGCAACAGCGAUAAGGGAACCUCGAGUGCCAGGUUACAAAUCUGGCUGUCGAGAUGCCUAAAAAGCAUUUCAUAGCAAGGGCCGGGCAAGACCGGUGCCAGCCGCCGCGGUAACACCGGCGGCUCGAGUGGUAACCGUUAUUAUUGGGUCUAAAGGGUCUGUAGCCGGCCGGAUAAGUCUCUUGAGAAAUCUGGCAGCUUAACUGUCAGGCUUUCAGGAGAUACUGUCUGGCUCGAGGCCGGGAGAGGUGAGAGGUACUUCAGGGGUAGGGGUGAAAUCUUGUUAUCCUUGAAGGACCACCAGUGGCGAAGGCGUCUCACCAGAACGGACCUGACGGCAAGGGACGAAAGCUAGGUGCACGAACC
rnacentral:rRNA from 1 species